GAGAGUGAAACCCAAGAAACUGAGAGUGAAACCCGAGAAACUGAGGUUAUACCCAAGAAACUGAGAGUGAAACCCAAGAAAGUGAGAGUGAAACCCAAGAAACUGAGAGUGAAACCCGAGAAACUGAGAGGGAACCCAAAGAAACUGAGCUGAAACCUAAGAAACUGAGAUUUAAACCCAAGAAACUGAGGGAAACCCAAUAAACUGAGAGUGAAACCCAAGAUACUGAGCUUGAAACGCAAGAAACUGAGGGAAACCCAAGAAACUGAGAGUGAAACCCAAGAAACUGAGAGUGAAACCCAAGAAACUGAGAGUGAAACCCAAGAAACUGAGCUGGAAAUCUUUGAAACUGAGAAUUAAAC